CCUGAAAGAACCUGCCUUUGUAGUGUCCACACAGAUUGUCUGAUAGAUGUAAAGAAGCAAGACGGCUGCGAAGUCGCGACACCUCGUGUCCCCUUCGUCUAGCGGUUAGGACUCCGCCCUUUCACGGCGGCAACAGGGGUUCGAAUCCCCUAGGGGACGCCACUUGCUGGCUGUGAGUGAAAGGCACAACCAACCGAUAUCUCAAAACUCAUCUUCGGGUGACGUUUGAGAUAUUUGCUCUUUAAAAAUCUGGAUCAAGCUGAAAAUUGAAACGACACACAGCUAAUGUGUGUUCGAGUCUCUCAAAUUUUCGCGACACGAUGAUGUUUCACGAAACAUCUUCGGGUUGUGA
rnacentral:misc_RNA from 1 species